rnacentral:tRNA from 1 species
UAUGNCAGAACAUACAUGCAAUGAACUUAAAAUUCAUUUAUAAAGAUUAAUCUUUUUUUAGAAAUU